rnacentral:rRNA from 1 species
CCUACGGGUGGCAGCAGUGAGGAAUAUUGGUCAAUGGGCGCGAGCCUGAACCAGCCACGUCGCGUGAGGGAUGAAGGUUCUAGGGAUCGUAAACCUCUUUUAUAAGGGAGUAAAGUGUGGGACGUGUCCUAUUUUGUAUGUACCUUAUGAAUAAGGAACGGCUAACUACUUGCCAGCAGCCGCGGUAAUACGGAGGAUCCGAGCGUUAUCCGGAUUUAUUGGGUUUAAAGGGUGCGUAGGUGGCAUUUUAAGUCAGCGGUGAAAGCCCGUGGCUCAACCAUAGAAUUGCAGUUGAAACUGGGGGGCUUGAGUAUGUGAGAGGCAGGCGGAAUGCGUGGUGUAGCGGUGAAAUGCGUAGAUAUCACGAAGAACCCCGAUGGCGAAGGCAGCUUGCUAAGCCAUGACUGACGCUGAGGCACGAAAGCGUGGGGAUCAAACAGGAUUAGAUACCCUAGUAGUC